rnacentral:rRNA from 1 species
GACGAACGCUGGCGGCGUGCUUAACACAUGCAAGUCGAACGAGAGCGUAGAGAAAGCUUGCUUUUUCUACAAUCUAGUGGCAAACGGGUGAGUAACGCGUAAACAACCUGCCCUACGGAUGGGGACAACAGCUGGAAACGGCUGCUAAUACCGAAUACGUUCCGAAAGUCGCAUGACUAUCGGAAGAAAGGAUGGCCUCUAUUUAUAAGCUAUCGCCGGAGGAGGGGUUUGCGUCUGAUUAGCUAGUUGGAGGGGUAACGGCCCACCAAGGCGACGAUCAGUAGCCGGUCUGAGAGGAUGAACGGCCACAUUGGAACUGUGACACGGUCCAGACUCCUACGGGAGGCAGCAGUGGGGAAUCUUCCGCAAUGGGCGAAAGCCUGACGGAGCAACGCCGCGUGAGUGAAGACGGCCUUCGGGUUGUAAAGCUCUGUUAUACGGGACGAAUAAUCUUGUGGUUAAUACCCAUGAGAAGUGACGGUACCGUAAGAGAAAGCCACGGCUAACUACGUG